UCCCUCGUGGCUCAGUUGGUAAAGAAUCUGCCUGCAAUGCAGGAGACCCGGGUUCGAUUCCUGGGUUGGGAA
rnacentral:tRNA from 1 species